GAUGGGAGUGGUGGUGUGCGCCUGUAAUCCCAGCAGCUUGGGAGGCUGAGACAGGAGGAUUGCAAGUUCAAAUCCAGCCUCAGCAUCAGUGAGGUGCUUAGCAACUCAGUGAGAUCCUGUCUCUA
rnacentral:sRNA from 1 species